rnacentral:rRNA from 1 species
GCACGCCUGCCCAGUGAAUAAUUAAACGGCCGCGGUAUCCUAACCGUGCAAAGGUAGCAUAAUCAUUUGUCUACUAAUUAUAGACUCGUAUGAAAGGCAAAAUGAGAAUCUGACUGUCUCCUAUAAUAGAUCAAUUAAACUGAUCUUCUAGUAAAAAAGCUAGAAUACCAACAUAAGACCAGAAGACCCUGUGAAGCUUGAACCAAACUAUUAAACUCAAUAAUAGCUAGUUUUGGUUGGGGCGACCUUGGAAAAAAAAAGAACUUCCAAACUACAUAACUUCUACCUUAAACUUAAUAGGCCUACAAGCCAUAAAUGACCCAGCACAGCUGAUAAACGAACUAAGUUACUCCAGGGAUAACAGCGCAAUCCUCUUCAAGAGCCCAUAUCAAAAAGAGGGUUUACGACCUCGAUGUUGGAUCAGGACAUCCUAAUGGUGUAGCCGCUAUUAAGGGUUCGUUUGUUCAACGAUCAAUAGUCCUACGUGAUCUGAGU